UACGGAGGAUCCAAGCGUUAUCCGGAUUUAUUGGGUUUAAAGGGUGCGUAGGCGGGUUAUUAAGUCAGUGGUGAAAGGUUGACGCUCAACGUUAACAUUGCCAUUGAAACUGGUAGUCUUGAGUGCAAAUGAGGCAGGCGGAAUGUGUUGUGUAGCGGUGAAAUGCAUAGAUAUGACACAGAACACCGAUUGCGAAGGCAGCUUGCUGGAAUGUAACUGACACUGAGGCAUGAAAGCGUGGGGAGCAAAC
rnacentral:rRNA from 1 species